ensembl:lncRNA
CGGGGAGCCGCGGCACGCCCGUCUGCGCCCUGCGCCCUCCCCGGGGCGCUGGAUGGGGCGAGCGCAACUUCAGCCGCCGCGGCCGCUUUCAGCCCUCUCCUCCCCGCUCUCCCCCCGUCUGCGUCGCCUCCCCUUCUCGUGUGAGAAGCGCGAAGUUGCGUUGAGACGGUACCUCGGCUGGAGCGCGAGCCUAACGAGCCCAUUAAAUAUGAUCAACGUACCGUCUGCACGGAAUGAAACCUUUCCCAGUCCUGAUUGCUCCAAAGAGGAAUCACGUCCUACCUCCCACCUUCCCAACCUUCGUUCUCCCGGCGGACACACGCGUGUAAUUACUGGCGACUGUGCAAACGCAGCCCUCAGCAAAAGCAUGCCGAUCACCAGGUGAUCUGGAAAUAAAUGAUGGAUCGCUUUGCGGACGGGCGAGGGGAGAGGACGACUCGUUAGUGCUGAUGCUAAGCGAGGAGUAACGCUGCCUGAGAGCACUCUGCCGCGGUUGCUUUCUUACUUAACUCUCUGCCUUCACUGAGGACCGCUCCGCUCGUGGGGGGGGGGGGGGGGGGGGGGGAAGAAGCAUAAACCCAAAGCCGGGCCUGCCGAGCGCGGGGUUCCCCUCCUCCAGGAAAGCAGAGCUUCGGGGCGCGAUCGUUAACUUCUGCGAUCAUCAUUGGGUUUCUUGGCAAGGAGGCUGAGCGGGCUUCUUUUUUUCUUAACCUCCUGUGUUGUUUUUUGUUUGCUCAGAUGACAUUCCCUGCUCCGAUGCCCUCCCCCCCCCAUCCCCCCCCAUCCCCCUCCCGGACAGCGCUCGCACACAGACACACACACACACACACACACACACACACGCGCGCACACCCCUUCUCCUUUCAUCAUCAGCAAAUAAAGAUUAGGUGGGCAGAUUAUAGAAAGCGUUUUCAGUCCUGUGCUGAUCUUUAUUCCGGAGCCUUUGUGAUGAUAUUGAUGAUGAUGAUGGUCAAGUGGACAGUUUGAUUUUUGUGUUUGGAGCUAGUUAUAAAGAAUCAAUAUUAUAUCAAGGGGUAACUUUCGUGAUAAAGGACUUUAACCACUCCGGCUAUUCAUCAUAAGUCUGUAGCAAGCAGAUAGGUCAAAAGAAAUUAUAUUGCACUAAAGAGUGUGUCUUCUUAUCUCUCCUAUACCAGGGGAAUAAGGGACAAGCCGAUCGAUACAGGAGCUGCUGUAUACUUCUUGCAAUUAUCAAUAGCUGAUUUCGUCUUUUGAGGCCUGAAUCUAUUAAUACAAACCAAUAAUAAUCUUCUGAGCAUAUCAGUAGCCAAGGGGACGAAAGUUUUUAUACUUGACAGCACUAUUUAUAGAGCUAAAGUUACCGAGCACUGUCGUAUUGCGUGUGCUUUCCCGUGCUAUGCAUAUACAGACAUAUACCUUUCCAUAUACACCUCUCCGGUCAUUUGGGGCAGAAUACAGCCUUUUGCAAAGGGGCUACCUAGAUUGAGUUUGAAUGUAAGCUGUACCCACGUGUACCUCCUGCAGCGUGUGCAGACCUUCCUCACGACAGAAAUACAGCAUUUGAAUGUGUGCACCACCUAUACGUGUGUGCAUCUGUAGGGUGGCGUGCAUCUAUAGGUGUCUCCAACACGUGUGGCUGCUCUUAAAUGAGUGCUGCCCUGAUAAUAUCCCCAUAGCUGUGCGUAU